UACAGAGGGUGCAAGCGUUGUUCGGAAUUACUGGGCGUAAAGGGCGCGUAGGCGGCUUAUCAAGUCAGGCGUGAAAUUCCCGGGCUCAACCUGGGGGCUGCGCUUGAUACUGAUUGGCUUGAAUGCGGGAGAGGAUAGUGGAAUUCCCAGUGUAGAGGUGAAAUUCGUAGAUAUUGGGAAGAACACCGGUGGCGAAGGCGGCUAUCUGGCCCGUAAUUGACGCUGAGGCGCGAAAGCGUGGGGAGCAAACAGG
rnacentral:rRNA from 1 species